rnacentral:rRNA from 1 species
AAGUCGAACGAACUCUGGUAUUGAUUGGUGCUUGCAUCAUGAUUUACAUUUGAGUGAGUGGCGAACUGGUGAGUAACACGUGGGAAACCUGCCCAGAAGCGGGGGAUAACACCUGGAAACAGAUGCUAAUACCGCAUAACAACUUGGACCGCAUGGUCCGAGCUUGAAAGAUGGCUUCGGCUAUCACUUUUGGAUGGUCCCGCGGCGUAUUAGCUAGAUGGUGGGGUAACGGCUCACCAUGGCAAUGAUACGUAGCCGACCUGAGAGGGUAAUCGGCCACAUUGGGACUGAGACACGGCCCAAACUCCUACGGGAGGCAGCAGUAGGGAAUCUUCCACAAUGGACGAAAGUCUGAUGGAGCAACGCCGCGUGAGUGAAGAAGGGUUUCGGCUCGUAAAACUCUGUUGUUAAAGAAGAACAUAUCUGAGAGUAACUGUUCAGGUAUUGACGGUAUUUAACCAGAAAGCCACGGCUAACUACGUGCCAGCAGCCGCGGUAAUACGUAGGUGGCAAGCGUUGUCCGGAUUUAUUGGGCGUAAAGCGAGCGCAGGCGGUUUUUUAAGUCUGAUGUGAAAGCCUUCGGCUCAACCGAAGAAGUGCAUCGGAAACUGGGAAACUUGAGUGCAGAAGAGGACAGUGGAACUCCAUGUGUAGCGGUGAAAUGCGUAGAUAUAUGGAAGAACACCAGUGGCGAAGGCGGCUGUCUGGUCUGUAACUGACGCUGAGGCUCGAAAGUAUGGGUAGCAAACAGGAUUAGAUACCCUGGUAGUCCAUACCGUAAACGAUGAAUGCUAAGUGUUGGAGGGUUUCCGCCCUUCAGUGCUGCAGCUAUAGCAUUAAGCAUUCCGCCUGGGGAGUACGGCCGCAAGGCUGAAACUCAAAGGAAUUGACGGGGGCCCGCACAAGCGGUGGAGCAUGUGGUUUAAUUCGAAGCUACGCGAAGAACCUUACCAGGUCUUGACAUACUAUGCAAAUCUAAGAGAUUAGACGUUCCCUUCGGGGACAUGGAUACAGGUGGUGCAUGGUUGUCGUCAGCUCGUGUCGUGAGAUGUUGGGUUAAGUCCCGCAACGAGCGCAACCCUUAUUCUCAGUUGCCAGCAUUAAGUUGGGCACUCUGGUGAGACUGCCGGUGACAAACCGGAGGAAGGUGGGGACGACGUCAAAUCAUCAUGCCCCUUAUGACCUGGGCUACACACGUGCUACAAUGGAUGGUACAACGAGUUGCGAACUCGCGAGAGUAA